CCUACGGGCGGCAGCAGUGGGGAAUAUUGCGCAAUGGGCGAAAGCCUGACGCAGCGACGCCGCGUGAGUGAAGAAGUAAUUCGUUAUGUAAAGCUCUAUCAGCAGGGAAGAAAAUGACGGUACCUGAGUAAGAAGCCCCGGCUAACUACGUGCCAGCAGCCGCGGUAAUACGUAGGGGGCAAGCGUUAUCCGGAUUUACUGGGUGUAAAGGGAGCGUAGACGGCAGUGCAAGUCUGGAGUGAAAGGCGGGGGCUCAACCCCCGGACUGCUCUGGAAACUGUACGGCUGGAGUGCAGGAGAGGUAAGUGGAAUUCCUAGUGUAGCGGUGAAAUGCGUAGAUAUUAGGAGGAACACCAGUGGCGAAGGCGGCUUACUAGACUGUAACUGACGUUGAGGCUCGAAAGCGUGGGGAGCAAACAGGAUUAGAUACCCCAGUAGUC
rnacentral:rRNA from 1 species